AUGGAUGAAGAGACCUCUGCCACCCCGUCUCUCAUCCUGGGCUGGCGUGGAACCAGGGAAAGAUUUGGUCAUACCCUCCUCUGCUUGAAUCCAGGUUCAACCGGUAACGCCGACACCUCCAACCUCCUGGUAUCCUCCUUAUGUACAACCCUGUCUCCAUGCAGCAGCAGCCUCCUCCUCUUUCCACACGCGUCCCCUUCAUCCUGCCUUCAACUUUGA
rnacentral:rRNA from 1 species